rnacentral:lncRNA from 1 species
ACAUCUGCGGUGUGGCUGAUUAUGUGACCGGGGAGGAUAUCGAUGACCUCAUGAUUAUGAAUGAGAUAUCUGCUCCACCGGUGUUGCAUAAGACAGCCAACGCUGAUGAGCUCGUGGUUAUGGGUGAGUUCUCCUCGCCACCUGCACUGCAGCAGAAGAAGGCCAGUGCUGAUGGUGUGUGCCAUGAGGAUGAACCUGCACUGCAGCAGAAGAAGGCCAGUGCUGAUGGUGUGUGCCAUGAGGAUGAUGAUGAUUGUGUAGUUCUAGAUGGUGACCCUGAUAAGGUGGUUACAGUUGCUGAUGCGGGGAGCGCGGGAGAUGGCAGUUCGGAUGAAUUGCAGAUAGUCGCG